rnacentral:rRNA from 1 species
UGUGCGCGCCCCCGUCUUCUAAUCCCCACACAACACCUGUGCACCUAUGGCGAAGCGCGCCUCCCGUUUGGAGCCGUCUGACCUCUGAACGGAGGUUGGACCGAGGCGCGGCUCCCUCUUUCACCACAGCCUGUCUUUAAACGCAUGUCUUUGAGCUCUACGGAGCUGAGAAAACACUUGUACAACUUUCAACAACGGAUCUCUUGGCUUUCGCAUCGAUGAAGAACGCCGCGAAAGUGCGAAACGUAAUGUGAAUUGCAGAAUUCAGUGAAUCAUCGAAUCUUUGAACGCAUCUUGCGCUCCUUGGUAUUCCGAGGAGCAUGCCUGUUUGAGUGUCGUGAACUCUCUCAACCCUUUUACUCCUUUGUUGGAGAAAAGGGUUGGAUUUGGACGCUUGCGGGGCGGUUUCCUCCCGCCGCUCGUCUUCAAACGCAUCAGCUUGGCCCUUUAGAGUCGGUUCGACGGCGGUGUGAUAACAAACGCUUCGUUGACAGUGGCGCCGUUUGGGGGCCGACUCCGACCCGGGUUGCUUAUAGCCGUCUUCGGACAAUGUUUUCAUGUCAUCUGACCUCAAAUCAGGUAGGACUACCCGCCGAACUUAAGCAUAUCAAUAAGCGGAGGAAAAGAAACUAACAAGGGAUUCCCCUAGUAACGGCGAGUGAAGCGGGAAGAGCUCAAAUUUGUAAUCUGGCGGUCUAUGGCCGUCCGAGUUGUA